UACGUAGGGUGCAAGCGUUAAUCGGAAUUACUGGGCGUAAAGCGUGCGCAGGCGGUUCUAUAAGACAGAUGUGAAAUCCCCGGGCUCAACCUGGGAACUGCAUUUGUGACUGUAGAGCUGGAGUACGGCAGAGGGGGAUGGAAUUCCGCGUGUAGCAGUGAAAUGCGUAGAUAUGCGGAGGAGCACCGAUGGCGAAGGCAAUCCCCUGGGCCUGUACUGACGCUCAUGCACGAAAGCGUGGGGAGCAAACAGG
rnacentral:rRNA from 1 species